rnacentral:rRNA from 1 species
GUUGCCAUCAUUCAGUUGGGCGACUCUAGCGAGACUGCCGGUAAUAAACCGGAGGAAGGUGGGGAUGACGUCAAAUCAUCAUGCCCCUUAUGACCUGGGCUACACACGUGCUACAAUGGUGGUGACAAUGGGUUAAUCCCAAAAAGCCAUCUCAGUUCGGAUUGGGGUCUGCAACUCGACCCCAUGAAGUCGGAAUCGCUAGUAAUCGCGUAACAGCAUGACGCGGUGAAUACGUUCCCGGGCCUU